CCUACGGGUGGCAGCAGUGAGGAAUAUUGGUCAAUGGACGAGAGUCUGAACCAGCAAAGCAGCGUGAAGGAUGACUGCCCUAUGGGUUUUAAACUUCUUUUAUAUGGGAGUAAAAUGUUCCACGUGUGGGAUUUUGUAUGUACCAUAUGAAUAAGGAUCGGCUAACUCCGGGCCAGCAGCCGCGGUAAUACGGAGGAUCCGAGCGUUAUCCGGAUUUAUUGGGUUUAAAGGGUGCGUAGCUGGAUUGUUAAGUUAGUUGUGAAAGUUUGCGGCUCAACCGUAAAAUUGCAGUUGAAACUGGCAGUCUUGAGUACAGUAGAGGUGGGCGGAAUUCGUGGUGUAGCGGUGAAAUGCUUAGAGAUCACGAAGAACACCGAUUGCGAAGGCAGCUCACUGGA
rnacentral:rRNA from 1 species